rnacentral:rRNA from 1 species
UACGGGGGGGGCAAGCGUUGUUCGGAAUUACUGGGCGUAAAGGGCUCGUAGGUGGCCAACUAAGUCAGACGUGAAAUCCCCAGGCUCAACUUGGGAACUGCGUCUGAUACUGGAUGGCUUGAAUUCGGGAGAGGGAUGCAGAAUUCCAGGUGUAGCGGUGAAAUGCGUAGAGAUCGGAAGGAACACCAGUGGCGAAGGCGGCUACCUGGCCUAAUACUGACGCUGAGGCACGAAAGCGUGGGGAUCAAACAGG